CUCCAGACUCCUACGGGAGGCAGCAGUGGGGAAUAUUGCACAAUGGGGGAAACCCUGAUGCGGCGACGCCGCGUGAGUGAAGAAGUAUUUCGGUAUGUAAAGCUCUAUCAGCAGGGAAGAAAAAAGACGGUACCUGACUAAGAAGCCCCGGCUAACUACGUGCCAGCAGCCGCGGUAAUACGUAGGGGGCAAGCGUUAUCCGGAUUUACUGGGUGUAAAGGGAGCGUAGACGGCUGUGCAAGUCUGAAGUGAAAGCCCAGGGCUCAACCCUGGGACUGCUUUGGAAACUGUGGAGCUAGAGUGCUGGAGAGGUAAGUGGAAUUCCUAGUGUAGCGGUGAAAUGCGUAGAUAUUAGAAGGAACACCGAUAGCGUAGGCAGGUUACUGGGACGGUUCUGACACUAAGGCACGAAAGCGUAGGGAGCAAACGGGAUUAGAUACCCGUGUAGAA
rnacentral:rRNA from 1 species